AGACGACGCUGGCGGCGUGCCUAACACAUGCAAGUCGAGCGAGGAGAUUCCUUCGGGUAUGAUCCUAGCGGCGGACGGGUGAGUAACGACGUGGGCAACCUGCCUCAUAGAGAGGAAUAGCCUUCCGAAAGGGAGACUUAAUACCUCAUAACAUUGCAGUUUCGCAUGGAACAGCAAUUAAAGGAGCAAUCCACUAUGAGAUGGGGCCCGCGGCGCAUUAGCUAGUUGGUGAGGUAAACGGCGUCACCCAAGGCGACGAUGCGUAGCCGACCUGAGAGGGUGAUCGGCCACAUUGGGACUGAGACACGGCCCAGACUCCUACGGGAGGCAGCAGUGGGGAAUAUUGCACAAUGGGGGAAACCCUGAUGCAGCCAACGCCGCGUGAGUGAUGACGGCCAUCGGGUUGUAAAGCUCUGUCUUCAGGGACGAUAAUGACGGUACCUGAGGAGGAAGCCACGGCUAACUACGUGCCAGCCGCUGC
rnacentral:rRNA from 1 species